AGUGUUCUUGGACACGACGCAGAAGACAGAGAUAGGUGGCAGCCUGGAAAUGUACUGUAGGUCAUGCUGGGCCCUGCAUCAUUUUUUCACUGGUUACCUGGUGGACACAGAAGCCUUUCUUCAAAUUUUGGGACAGGAGACAAGACACAAAACAGCAAUAUCAAAAUAAUUUGAUUGAUCAGUGAGGAGCUAGCUCUUGGAGGCAGUAUAUUCUCUUCUUGACAUCUAUGAAAAUGGACCGGACUGGUUGAAAUUCUCCUUAGAAAUUAACAUAGGGUGCCCAAUGCCAUGGUCUUAAAAAUGACAGUAACUGCUGGUAGCAGAGAAGAAUUAUUAUAGCACAGUAAUUAGAAAUGUUACCAAUGAUCCAGAGUCCCACAGAUCGAAUCUCAGCUCAGCCAUGAACCUCCAAACCGGCCUUAGACUAGUGAUGGAAAGUUGUUUUUGAAAUCCAGUAGCCCCAGCCAACAUGUUCUGUGGCUGGGAAAAAUAAGAGUUAUAGUCCAACAUUAUCUGGCAUUCGCACCCAGGGCCGGUCCUAUCAUUAGGCAAAAGCUAGGCAGCUGCCUAGGGCACAGACCUCAGAAGAGUGCAAUACU